rnacentral:rRNA from 1 species
UACGUAGGGUGCGAGCGUUAAUCGGAAUUACUGGGCGUAAAGCGUGCGCAGGCGGCUUACUAAGACAGGUGUGAAAGCCCCGAGCUUAACUUGGGAAUGGCGCUUGUGACUGGUAGGCUGGAGUGUGGCAGAGGGAGGUGGAAUUCCACGUGUAGCAGUGAAAUGCGUAGAGAUGUGGAGGAACACCGAUGGCGAAGGCAGCCCCCUGGGCUGAGAUUGACGCUCAGGCACGAAAGCGUGGGGAGCAAACAGG